AAGCUUUUUAUUCAUUCUCAAACCCAAACACAACAACAACCUAGUUUUGACACCACAAUCUUGGAAAUAUUUUGGACUCAAACUCCUUGACUUUUUUGGUUUUCUUUUGUGUUUAUAAAUGGGGUUUUACUCUUGGGUUGUGAUUUGAGAGGGAUUUAAGUCAUGUGGGUUUUGUUGAGUUUACACUCUUUUUGGGUUUUUUUGCUCUUAGUACUUUUU
rnacentral:lncRNA from 1 species